UAACUCAGUUGGUAGAGCAUGGCGCUUGCAACGCCAGGGUUGUGGGUUCGUUUCUCAC
rnacentral:tRNA from 1 species